rnacentral:rRNA from 1 species
UACGGGGGGGGCAAGCGUUGUUCGGAAUUACUGGGCGUAAAGGGCUCGUAGGCGGCCAACUAAGUCAUACGUGAAAUCCCUCGGCUUAACCGGGGAACUGCGUCUGAUACUGGAUGGCUUGAGUUCGGGAGAGGGAUGCGGAAUUCCAGGUGUAGCGGUGAAAUGCGUAGAUAUCUGGAGGAACACCGGUGGCGAAGGCGGCAUCCUGGACCGGUAUUGACGCUGAGGCGCGAAAGCUAGGGGAGCAAACGGG